rnacentral:rRNA from 1 species
UACAUGUGGGGCAAGCGUUGUUCGGAAUUACUGGGCAUAAAGGGUGCGUAGGUGGCUUGUUAAGUCAGGGGUGAAAGUUUUCGGCCCAACCGGAAAAUGGCCUUUGAUACUGGCGAGCUCGAGUGCGUGAGGGGUAACCGGAACGAGCAGUGUAGCGGUGAAAUGCGUAGAUAUUGCUCGGAAGGCCAACGGCGAAGGCAGGUUACUGGUGCGCAACUGACACUGAGGCACGAAAGCGUGGGGAGCAAACGGG